rnacentral:rRNA from 1 species
UAUUACUUUAUAUUGUUGAGUUUGAUGAUGGCUCUGAAUGAACGCUGUCCAAAUGCUUGACACAUGCUAAUCGAACGACAUCACUCUAGUGUUUCACUUAGAGUGAUGUAGUGGUGUACAGGUGAGUAUAAGAUAAUGUAACCACCUUGGAGUGAGGAGAAAUGCCUUAUAAUAAUAAAGAAAGUUAAGUUUCGCUCUUAGAAGUUUGUAUCUCGUGCGUGGUAGUAGUUAGGAUUAUAAGCCUAACUAGCUAUAUGCACGUAGUCGUAACUGAAAGGUUGAUCGACCACAGUGGGCCUGAAUAAAGCCCAUGACGAAUGUCACAGCAGUGAGGAAUAUUGGUCAAUAGCCUAACGGCUGAACCAGCAACUUGGAGGAAUGUAUAGCAAUAGCUACUUGCAUCAUUGUAAAUAUGAUGCGAGAUCGACUAUGUCGAAUAAAAUUCUAGGUAGAAUUAUGAUAAUGACAUUGUCUGCCUAUGUGUCUUGACCAAAUUACGUGCCAGCAGUCGCGGUAAUACGUAGAAGACUAGUGUUAUUCAUGUUUAAUCGGUUUAAAGGGUACCUAGACGGUAAAUCAAGCCUAGAGAAAAUAUAAAGGAAGGGACUAAUUUACUAGAGUUACUUAUGAGGGGGUUUUAAAGUACUACUGGUGUAGAGAUGAAAUUCUGUCAUACCAGCUAAAGACGGCACAGGUAUAGGCGAAGGCAUCUCCUUAUGUGAUAACUGACGUUGAGGGACGAAGGCUUUUACAGCGACCAGGAUUAGAUACCCCAGUAGUCUAAGCAGAAAAUGAUGAAUGUCAUAGAUUAGAUAAAUAAGUUUAUUCUAUAAAUGAAAGUGUAAGCAUUCCACCUCAAGAGUAAUUUGGCAACAUUGGAACUGAAAUCAUUAGACCGUUUCUGAAACCAGUAGUGAAGUAUGUUGUUUAAUUUGAUAGCCCUCAAAAAACCUUACCACAAUUUGAAUAUUUAUAUCUUUUAUUGCUUUUCUUCUUAUUUUUCUUCUUGAAAAAAAAAAAAAAAGAAAAAGAGGCAAUAAGAUAUAUUUACAAGCGUUGCACGGCUGUCUUUAGUUAAUGUCGCGAGACUCUGGUUGGUACCAUAAAAUUAACGUAAACCCUUACUUUAUUUUUAUAUAGAGUAGUUCCCCGCUAUAUUGGAUAUGAUAACAGGGAUUAAGACAAGUCAUCAUGGCCUAAAUAUUGUGGGCUAUAGACGUGCCACGUAAGCCUUACAAAAGGGUGUGAAAUUGCGAAAUUGAGCUAAUCCCCCAAAACUGGAUAUACACUGACAAUGGAUUGUAGUCUGUAACUCGACUGCGUGAAAAGGAAAUUACUAGUAAUCGUGUAUAAGUACGGCACGGUGAAUCUAAUCUCAGAUAGGUACUCACUACUCGUCAGGCGCCGAAAUUAGUAUGUGCAAUAAGUUUGGCUAGUGUUUAUUUUUAAUUUAGGCGAUUUGGUCUAAUAACUUAGGCAUGAUGUCUUCGUAUGCGUGACUUUGAUUGGUGUUAAGUCGAAAUAUGGUUCGUGUAGUGGAAGUUGCACGGGAUUAAUGAAUAUUA